AACGAACGCUGGCGGCAGGCCUAACACAUGCAAGUCGAGCGCCCCGCAAGGGGAGCGGCGGACGGGUGAGUAACGCGUGGGAACGUACCCUUUGCUACGGAAUAGCCUCGGGAAACUGGGAGUAAUACCGUAUGUGCCCUUCGGGGGAAAGAUUUAUCGGCAAAGGAUCGGCCCGCGUUGGAUUAGGUAGUUGGUGGGGUAAAGGCCUACCAAGGCGACGAUCAGUAGCCGGCCUGAGAGGGUGUACGGCCACACUGGAACUGAGACACGGUCCAGACUCCUACGGGAGGCAGCAGUGGGGAAUAUUGCGCAAUAGGGGAAACCCUGACGCAGCGACGCCGCGUGAGCGACGAAGGCUUUCGGGUUGUAAAGCUCUGUCCUAAGGGAAGAAGAGGACGGUACCUUAGGAGGAAGCCCCGGCUAACUUCGUG
rnacentral:rRNA from 1 species